CCCCUAGAUGUUCUAGGCCGCACGCGCGCUACACUGAACAGUUCAACAAGUCUUAACCUUGGCCGAUAGGUCUGGGUAAUCUUUGAACGCUGUUCGUGAUUGGGAUAGACCUUUGCAAUUAUGGGUCUUCAACGAGGAAUUCCUAGUAAACGCAAGUCAUCAGCUUGCAUUGAUUACGUCCCUGCCCUUUGUACACACCGCCCGUCGCACCUACCGAUUGAAUGGUCCGGUGAAAUCUCGGGACGGCGGCUUGGUCGCUUGCGUCCGACUGCUGAAACUUGAUUAAACCAUAUCAUUUAGAGGAAGGUGAAGUCGUAACA
rnacentral:rRNA from 1 species